UAGGGAAUCUUCCACAAUGGGAGAAAGCCUGAUGGAGCAACGCCGCGUGUGUGAUGAAGGGUUUCGGCUCGUAAAACACUGUUGUAAGAGAAGAAUGACAUUGAGAGUAACUGUUCAAUGUGUGACGGUAUCUUACCAGAAAGGAACGGCUAAAUACGUGCCAG
rnacentral:rRNA from 1 species